rnacentral:misc_RNA from 1 species
UACGGAGGGUGCAAGCGUUGUCCGGAAUCACUGGGUGUAAAGGGUGUGCAGGCGGACGGGUAAGUCAGUGGUGAAAGCCCGCAGCUCAACUGCGGAAGUGCCAUUGAAACUACUCGUCUUGAGUCCCGGAGGGGCUGUCGGAAUUCGUGGUGUAGCGGUGAAAUGCGUAGAUAUCACGAGGAACACCAGAAGCGUAAGCGGACAGCCGGACGGUGACUGACGCUCAGGCACGAAAGCGUGGGGAGCAAACAGG